rnacentral:lncRNA from 1 species
UGCCACCAACGUGCCAGGCUGCUUUCCAUACAGGCCUGCACCUGACCUUUUACCUCUGGAACUGCACUAAACUCUGCAGUUCCAUUUCAACCUGUGAUGCCGCUACAACAAACAGCAGCAGCAACAAGAACAACAGCUUCCCAGAGGUCUCCAGCUGGUUAGGUGGCUCAACCCUAUGGACUCCAGGAUAGAUAGAUUUACUUUGUGAUAUGCAAUGUGAUCUGAGAACUGAUAUCAAUAGUUAAUAUUAGAGUAAAAGAACAAGCAUUUGCCUUGGUUAGGGUUAUCAAGGAAAAUGGUGGUAUCUAUGAAAUUCCUAUCAUUGAAACCUU